CCUACGGGAGGCAGCAGUGAGGAAUAUUGGUCAAUGGACGAGAGUCUGAACCAGCCAAGUAGCGUGAAGGAUGACUGCCCUAUGGGUUGUAAACUUCUUUUAUAUGGGAAUAAAAUGUUCCACGUGUGGGAUUUUGUAUGUACCAUAUGAAUAAGGAUCGGCUAACUCCGUGCCAGCAGCCGCGGUAAUACGGAGGAUCCGAGCGUUAUCCGGAUUUAUUGGGUUUAAAGGGAGCGUAGGUGGAUGGUUAAGUCAGUUGUGAAAGUUUGCGGCUCAACCGUAAAAUUGCAGUUGAAACUGGGAGUCUUGAGUACAGUAGAGGUGGGCGGAAUUCGUGGUGUAGCGGUGAAAUGCUUAGAUAUCACGAAGAACUCCGAUUGCGAAGGCAGCUCACUGGACUGCAACUGACACUGAGGCUCGAAAGUGCGGGUAUCAAACAGGAUUAGAUACCCUAGUAGUC
rnacentral:rRNA from 1 species